AUGUCUUCCCCAUCGCUUGUGUCGGUGAGCCGUCGGGAUCCGCCUCUGCCAUCGUCGCCACCUCGGCGAGAGGAUAUCAUACCCUCAAGAUCGACGGUUACUGGUGCGCCAAGGCGACCCCCACGGCUCGAUGAAAUUGCAACCGAGGAUGUGAAGACGAUGUUCACUAUUAAUUUCGCCAAGGUGGCUGAGAAGCGACUGUCAUGGCCGUGGGCAUCCACAACUAGAUAUGUUUUUGGUGGUAAGCAAAUGUGGGGCUAUCCAAAGUUCAUCAAGAGGGAGGAUUUGGAGAAGUCGGAGCAUCUCAAGGACGAUUCUUUCACAAUCAGGUGUGACAUUGCCGUCAUCCAUGACAUCUGCACCAAACAGACCAGCGCUCCAAAGUUUGUCUUUGUGCCCCCACCCGAGCUGAAUCAGCACCUCGGUGAUCUCCUCAAGACUGAGAAGGGCGCUGACGUUGUGUUUGAGGUAGGCGGUGAGAGGAUUGCUGCACACCGGUGUGUGCCCGCGUCGCGAUCUCCAGUCUUCAGCGCGGAGCUCUUUGGCGUGAUGAAGGAGGGCGACACAGCCAGUGUCAUACACAUAGAUGACUUGGAGGCACAGGUUUUCAAGGAGUUGCUCUACUUCGCCUACACUGACUCAUUGCGAGAGGCAAAAGAAGAAGAGGAAGAUAUCAUGUGUCAGCAUCUGCUCGUUGCGGCGGACAGGUAUAACAUGGAGAGGCUAAAGCUUAUUUGUGAGGAAAAAUUAUGCAAGUACAUUGAUGCAGGCUCUGUUCCGACCAUUCUAGCACUUGCUGAGCAGUACCACUACAAUGGGUUGAAGAAGGCAUGCUUUGAUUUUCUCAGCUGCCCGGCACAUCGGAGGGCAGUCGUGGCCACUGAGGGCUUCCAAAAUUUGUGUAAGAGCUUCCCUUCUCUUGUGAUGGAGCUGAUUGCCAUGCCCUCGCCACCUUAG
rnacentral:rRNA from 1 species